ACACCUGGGAAGCCUCCUUUGCAUAAUCCCCUCCCCUUAAGCAUGGGAUGGACCUAAUGACUUACUUCUAACAAAUGGAAUGUCAUUCUACAGUUAGGCUACAGAAGACUGUGACUUCCACAUUACUUUUCAUUGUCUCUUGCUGGAAUUUACUCUUGCCUUCUUGCUUGCUUGCUACCAUUUUGUAAGAUGUUUUAUGGAUAGACCUACGUGGCAAGGAACUUCAAGAGACCUGCAGCCAACAACUCAUGAGGAGCAAAAGCCUCAGUUUAACAGACCACAGGAAUUUAAUCUUACCAACAACCAUGUAGAAGUCUGAAAAGAGAUGAUUCUGGAUUGUGGUAACUCAAAGAUGUCAUCAAGCAUCCAAGGUCUUUCUACCUUUCUGCUACACUGUCCUCGGUAUCCGGCUUUUAUUUCAAUGAAUACAAGAUGGCUGUCGCACCUCCAGGCAUCAAGACUGCAUUCCAAGAAGAGAGGAGUGGAAAGCCAAAAAGACAGAAGAGUUUUCGUCUGGAUUGACUGGCUCGAUCUCCUUCCUGUCCAAGAUACUCUCAAGAGUCUUCUCCAGAACCACAGUCCAAAAGCAUCAACCAGUAUCAUUGACUUCAUGAGUGGUGAAUUCUGAGGACACCAAAACAAAUAAUAAAUAAGGACUCCUUUCCUGGAUCAAGAAGGACAAGGGUAGGAACCAGACACUCUGCACCACUGCAUGCCCAGGGCUGGGCACUCCCAGCCAUCUGUGAAGUAGAGCAAGAGAGAAGCAGACAGCUGCAUCCACGCUGUGUACUCACAGGGUCUCUCCUCCGAGCACACAGUUCCUAGGUCUCUGUGUCCCUAAUCUCUUUUUAUAAAGACACCAGGCAGGCUGGAUUAGGACCCACCCUAACUGCCACAUUUUACCUUAAGAACUUCUUUAAAGGCCCCGUGUCCAAACACAGUCACAUUUUGAGGUUUUAGGGACCGGGGCUUCAACAUAUUAAUUUAGGGGAUGUGCAAUUCAGUCCUUAAUAUCAAUAACAAUAAUAGUGAUCGCUAAUACGUACUCAAUUCAGUUCAGUUCAAUUGCUUAGUUGUGUCCAACUCUUUGCAACCCCAUGGACUGCUGCAUACUAGGCC